UAGGGAAUCUUCCGCAAUGGACGCAAGUCUGACGGAGCAACGCCGCGUGAGUGAAGAAGGAUUUCGGUUCGUAAAACUCUGUUGUUAGAGAAGAACAGCGCAUAGAGUAACUGUUAUGCGUGUGACGGUAUCUAACCAGAAAGCCACGGCUAACUACGUGCCAGCAGCCGCGGUAAUACGUAGGUGGCAAGCGUUGUCCGGAUUUAUUGGGCGUAAAGCGAGCGCAGGCGGUUAGGUAAGUCUGAAGUUAAAGGCAGUGGCUCAACCAUUGUAGGCUUUGGAAACUGUUUAACUUGAGUGCAGAAGGGGAGAGUGGAAUUCCAUGUGUAGCGGUGAAAUGCGUAGAUAUAUGGAGGAACACCGGUGGCGAAAGCGGCUCUCUGGUCUGUAACUGACGCUGAGGCUCGAAAGCGUGGGGAGCGAACAGG
rnacentral:rRNA from 1 species